rnacentral:rRNA from 1 species
UGUGUGUUAGUGGAAGCGUCUGGAAAGGCGCGCGAUACAGGGUGACAGCCCCGUACACAAAAAUGCACAUGCUGUGAGCUCGAUGAGUAGGGCGGGACACGUGGUAUCCUGUCUGAAUAUGGGGGGACCAUCCUCCAAGGCUAAAUACUCCUGACUGACCGAUAGUGAACCAGUACCGUGAGGGAAAGGCGAAAAGAACCCCGGCGAGGGGAGUGAAAAAGAACCUGAAACCGUGUACGUACAAGCAGUGGGAGCACGCUUAGGCGUGUGACUGCGUACCUUUUGUAUAAUGGGUCAGCGACUUAUAUUCUGUAGCAAGGUUAACCGAAUAGGGGAGCCGAAGGGAAACCGAGUCUUAACUGGGCGUUAAGUUGCAGGGUAUAGACCCGAAACCCGGUGAUCUAGCCAUGGGCAGGUUGAAGGUUGGGUAACACUAACUGGAGGACCGAACCGACUAAUGUUGAAAAAUUAGCGGAUGACUUGUGGCUGGGGGUGAAAGGCCAAUCAAACCGGGAGAUAGCUGGUUCUCCCCGAAAGCUAUUUAGGUAGCGCCUCGUGAAUUCAUCUCCGGGGGUAGAGCACUGUUUCGGCAAGGGGGUCAUCCCGACUUACCAACCCGAUGCAAACUGCGAAUACCGGAGAAUGUUAUCACGGGAGACACACGGCGGGUGCUAACGUCCGUCGUGAAGAGGGAAACAACCCAGACCGCCAGCUAAGGUCCCAAAGUCAUGGUUAAGUGGGAAACGAUGUGGGAAGGCCCAGACAGCCAGGAUGUUGGCUUAGAAGCAGCCAUCAUUUAAAGAAAGCGUAAUAGCUCACUGGUCGAGUCGGCCUGCGCGGAAGAUGUAACGGGGCUAAACCAUGCACCGAAGCUGCGGCAGCGACGCUUAUGCGUUGUUGGGUAGGGGAGCGUUCUGUAAGCCUGUGAAGGUGUGCUGUGAGGCAUGCUGGAGGUAUCAGAAGUGCGAAUGCUGACAUAAGUAACGAUAAAGCGGGUGAAAAGCCCGCUCGCCGGAAGACCAAGGGUUCCUGUCCAACGUUAAUCGGGGCAGGGUGAGUCGACCCCUAAGGCGAGGCCGAAAGGCGUAGUCGAUGGGAAACAGGUUAAUAUUCCUGUACUUGGUGUUACUGCGAAGGGGGGACGGAGAAGGCUAUGUUGGCCGGGCGACGGUUGUCCCGGUUUAAGCGUGUAGGCUGGUUUUCCAGGCAAAUCCGGAAAAUCAAGGCUGAGGCGUGAUGACGAGGCACUACGGUGCUGAAGCAACAAAUGCCCUGCUUCCAGGAAAAGCCUCUAAGCAUCAGGUAACAUCAAAUCGUACCCCAAACCGACACAGGUGGUCAGGUAGAGAAUACCAAGGCGCUUGAGAGAACUCGGGUGAAGGAACUAGGCAAAAUGGUGCCGUAACUUCGGGAGAAGGCACGCUGAUAUGUAGGUGAAGUCCCUCGCGGAUGGAGCUGAAAUCAGUCGAAGAUACCAGCUGGCUGCAACUGUUUAUUAAAAACACAGCACUGUGCAAACACGAAAGUGGACGUAUACGGUGUGACGCCUGCCCGGUGCCGGAAGGUUAAUUGAUGGGGUCAGCGCAAGCGAAGCUCUUGAUCGAAGCCCCGGUAAACGGCGGCCGUAACUAUAACGGUCCUAAGGUAGCGAAAUUCCUUGUCGGGUAAGUUCCGACCUGCACGAAUGGCGUAAUGAUGGCCAGGCUGUCUCCACCCGAGACUCAGUGAAAUUGAACUCGCUGUGAAGAUGCAGUGUACCCGCGGCAAGACGGAAAGACCCCGUGAACCUUUACUAUAGCUUGACACUGAACAUUGAGCCUUGAUGUGUAGGAUAGGUGGGAGGCUUAGAAGUGUGGACGCCAGUCUGCAUGGAGCCGACCUUGAAAUACCACCCUUUAAUGUUUGAUGUUCUAACGUUGACCCGUAAUCCGGGUUGCGGACAGUGUCUGGUGGGUAGUUUGACUGGGGCGGUCUCCUCCUAAAGAGUAACGGAGGAGCACGAAGGUUGGCUAAUCCUGGUCGGACAUCAGGAGGUUAGUGCAAUGGCAUAAGCCAGCUUGACUGCGAGCGUGACGGCGCGAGCAGGUGCGAAAGCAGGUCAUAGUGAUCCGGUGGUUCUGAAUGGAAGGGCCAUCGCUCAACGGAUAAAAGGUACUCCGGGGAUAACAGGCUGAUACCGCCCAAGAGUUCAUAUCGACGGCGGUGUUUGGCACCUCGAUGUCGGCUCAUCACAUCCUGGGGCUGAAGUAGGUCCCAAGGGUAUGGCUGUUCGCCAUUUAAAGUGGUACGCGAGCUGGGUUUAGAACGUCGUGAGACAGUUCGGUCCCUAUCUGCCGUGGGCGCUGGAGAACUGAGGGGGGCUGCUCCUAGUACGAGAGGACCGGAGUGGACGCAUCACUGGUGUUCGGGUUGUCAUGCCAAUGGCACUGCCCGGUAGCUAAAUGCGGAAGAGAUAAGUGCUGAAAGCAUCUAAGCACGAAACUUGCCCCGAGAUGAGUUCUCCCUGACUCCUUGAGAGUCCUGAAGGAACGUUGAAGACGACGACGUUGAUAGGCCGGGUGUGUAAGCGCAGCGAUGCGUUGAGCUAACCGGUACUAAUGAACCGUGAGG